GACGAACGCUGGCGGCGUGCUUAACACAUGCAAGUCGAACGGAAAGACCCUGCUUUUGUGGGGUGCUCGAGUGGCGAACGGGCGAGUAACACGUGAGUAACCUGCCCUUGACUUUGGGAUAACUUCAGGAAACUGGGGCUAAUACCGGAUAGGAGCUCCUGCUGCAUGGUGGGGGUUGGAAAGUUUCGGCGGUUGGGGAUGGACUCGCGGCUUAUCAGCUUGUUGGUGGGGUAGCGGCUUACCAAGGCUUUGACGGGUAGCCGGCCUGAGAGGGUGACCGGCCACAUUGGGACUGAGAUACGGCCCAGACUCCUACGGGAGGCAGCAGUGGGGAAUAUUGCACAAUGGGCGGAAGCCUGAUGCAGCAACGCCGCGUGCGGGAUGACGGCCUUCGGGUUGUAAACCGCUUUCGCCUGUGACGAAGCGUGAGUGACGGUAAUGGGUAAAGAAGCACCGGCUAACUACGUG
rnacentral:rRNA from 1 species